GUUGUAUAGUCAAGUAAUGAAGUGCACAUGGUGGAUGCCUUGGCAGUCAGAGGCGAUGAAAGACGUGACAGCCUGCGAAAAGCGUCGGGGAGGCGGCAAUAUCCUGUGAUCCGGCGAUAUCUGAAUGGGGAAACCCACUUGUCAUAAGACAGGUAUCGUAAAUUUAUUUACGAGGCAAACCGGGAGAAGUGAAACAUCUCAGUAACCCGAGGAAAAGACAUCAAUAGAGAUUCCCCUAGUAGCGGCGAGCGAACGGGGAGGAGCCGACUGAUUAUAAUUUAGAGGAAUGACUUGGAAAGGUCAAUCGUAGAGGGUGAUAAUCCCGUACUCGAAAGGU
rnacentral:rRNA from 1 species